rnacentral:misc_RNA from 1 species
AAGUCGUAACAAGGUUUCCGUAGGUGAACCUGCGGAAGGAUCAUUACAAGAAACGAGGCCGCGUGCGCUCGCCCGCCCGGCCCCGCUCCUUACCUUGCCUACUGCACCGUUUGUUGCUUCCUGGCGGCGGACUGCCCGCCGCCAGGGACGUUGAUACAACCCUGUAUAGAAGUAUUGAAGCUCUGAGAAAACACGAAAUCGUACAACUUUCAACAAUGGAUCUCUUGGUUCUG